AGUAAUUAUUUUACUGUGGUAUCUAUCUCUAUUUAUAUUAGCUGCGGAAUCACAGCCAGACACAUCAUCUCCUAUUCUCUCAUUCCAGAUCCUAAUAUUUCGGAUCGGCAAUGUCACCGAUGAGAGGAGCGGCACCGGCGAGGUCGACACGGAUGGUGAUGUGGUUCCUCCUGUGCGGUUUGCUUGUCAGGGCGAUGGCGUGGAGAUGGAGAUCCGAGUGGUGGCGAGGAGGUCCGUCGCCAUGGCGACGGGUAAUUGGCAUUUGCGAGACGAGAUGCCGACAAUGGUGCCCUGCAUCCAGCGGCAACCUCGACGACGGCGUGCACGGCCAAGCAGCAGAAGCAGCAUCCACGAGGAGGCCGAUUCACAGCGGCGCGAGCAAACUGUCAUCCAUGUCGAUGCUGACAACGAGAUGGUCGGUGAUGAGGUUCCACCGUACAAGGAGGUCAGGCGUGAGGGAGGACUGCAUCCACUGGGAUCUACACUGUGACUGACGGCCUGCGGCUCGAUACGGCGGCGUGGUGGCCACCUUGAGUAUGGCGGCGACCGAUUCCGUCGUUGACGCAAUAGCAUGCUCAUCUACGCCUUCGUGUUGCCAGAUUGGAUCGAGAGUCAUUGCAUGCAUCUGAUCUUCGUUUUCCUUGUGUCUCAAAGCUGUUGUCGACAGCUGGUUUAUUGUGUCAUGUAUAUCCUUCUCCUUUUCUUCUUUUUCGCCGGUCAGAGUCAGAUGAUUCUGCUCUCGCUGUGUGUAAUUUUCUACUAACUAAAACUUUCAUAUAUGUAUAAUCUCUCACUAAGAUUUCACAUAUGCAUCAUAAAAUAAUUAUUAUCCACACGUUUGUGAUUGUUGAAAUUUUU